rnacentral:rRNA from 1 species
AACGAACGCUGGCGGCAGGCUUAACACAUGCAAGUCGAACGCACCGCAAGGUGAGUGGCAGACGGGUGAGUAACACGUGGGGAUCUGCCCAAUGGUACGGAAUAGCUCCGGGAAACUGGAAUUAAUACCGUAUGUGCCCUUCGGGGGAAAGAUUUAUCGCCAUUGGAUGAACCCGCGUCGGAUUAGCUAGUUGGUGUGGUAAAGGCGCGCCAAGGCGACGAUCCGUAGCUGGUCUGAGAGGAUGAUCAGCCACACUGGGACUGAGACACGGCCCAGACUCCUACGGGAGGCAGCAGUGGGGAAUAUUGGACAAUGGGCGCAAGCCUGAUCCAGCCAUGCCGCGUGAGUGAUGAAGGCCCUAGGGUUGUAAAGCUCUUUCGCCGACGAAGAUAAUGACGGUAGUCGGAGAAGAAGCCCCGGCUAACUUCGUGCCAGCCGCCGCGGUAAGAC